rnacentral:misc_RNA from 1 species
UCGUAACAAGGUUUCCGUAGGUGAACCUGCGGAAGGAUCAUUACCGAGUGAGGGCCCUCUGGGUCCAACCUCCCACCCGUGUUUAUCGUACCUUGUUGCUUCGGCGGGCCCGCCGCAAGGCCGCCGGGGGGCAUCUGCCCUCUGGCCCGCGCCCGCCGAAGACACCAUUGAACGCUGUCUGAAGAUUGCAGUCUGAGCAAUUAGUUAAAUAACUUAAAACUUUCAACAACGGAUCUCUUGGUUCCGGCAUCGAUGAAGAACGCAGCGAAAUGCGAUACGUAAUGUGAAUUGCAGAAUUCAGUGAAUCAUCGAGUCUUUGAACGCACAUUGCGCCCCCUGGUAUUCCGGGGGGCAUGCCUGUCCGAGCGUCAUUGCUGCCCUCAAGCACGGCUUGUGUGUUGGGCUCCGUCCUCCUCCCGGGGGACGGGCCCGAAAGGCAGCGGCGGCACCGCGUCCGGUCCUCGAGCGUAUGGGGCUUCGUCACCCGCUCUGUAGGCCCGGCCGGCGCUUGCCGACACAUCAAUCUUUUUUCCAGGUUGACCUCGGAUCAGGUAGGGAUACCCGCUGAACUUAAGCAUAUCA